rnacentral:rRNA from 1 species
GACGAACGCUGGCGGCGUGCCUAAUACAUGCAAGUCGAGCGGAGUUGUUUUGAAAGCUUGCUUUCAAAACAACUUAGCGGCGGACGGGUGAGUAACGCGUAGGCAACCUGCCCCUUAGACUGGGAUAACUACCGGAAACGGUAGCUAAUACCGGAUAAUUUCUUUUUUCUCCUGAAGGAAGAAUGAAAGACGGAGCAAUCUGUCACUGAGGGAUGGGCCUGCGGCGCAUUAGCUAGUUGGUGGGGUAACGGCCCACCAAGGCGACGAUGCGUAGCCGACCUGAGAGGGUGAACGGCCACACUGGGACUGAGACACGGCCCAGACUCCUACGGGAGGCAGCAGUAGGGAAUCUUCCGCAAUGGACGAAAGUCUGACGGAGCAACGCCGCGUGAGUGAUGAAGGUUUUCGGAUCGUAAAGCUCUGUUGCCAGGGAAGAACGUCCGGUAGAGUAACUGCUAUCGGAGUGACGGUACCUGAGAAGAAAGCCCCGGCUAACUACGUGCCAGCAGCCGCGGUAAUACGUAGGGGGCAAGCGUUGUCCGGAAUUAUUGGGCGUAAAGCGCGCGCAGGCGGUCAUUUAAGUCUGGUGUUUAAACCUUGGGCUCAACCUGAGGUCGCACUGGAAACUGGAUGACUUGAGUACAGAA